AUAUCAAUAAGCGGAGGAAAAGAAACUAACAAGGUUUCCCCUAGUAACGGCGAGUGAAGCGGGAAGAGCUCAAAUUUGGAAUCUGGCGCCUCCGGCGUCCGAGUUGUAAGCUAGAGAGGUGUUUUCGGCGGGAGCCCGGGUAUAAGUCCUCUGGAACAGGGCAUCGUAGAGGGUGAGAAUCCCGUCUUUGACCCGGAGCGACCCGCUAUGUGAUACACCUUCGAAGAGUCGGUUUGUUUGGGAAUGCAGACCAAAAUGGGUGGUAAAUUCCAUCUAAAGCUAAAUACAGGCGAGAGACCGAUAGCGCACAAGUA
rnacentral:rRNA from 1 species